rnacentral:rRNA from 1 species
UACGUAGGGUGCGAGCGUUGUCCGGAAUUAUUGGGCGUAAAGGGCUCGUAGGCGGUUUGUCGCGUCGGGAGUGAAAAUUCAGGGCUUAACCCUGAGCCUGCUUCCGAUACGGGCAGACUAGAGGUAUGCAGGGGAGAACGGAAUUCCUGGUGUAGCGGUGAAAUGCGCAGAUAUCAGGAGGAACACCGGUGGCGAAGGCGGUUCUCUGGGCAUUACCUGACGCUGAGGAGCGAAAGUGUGGGGAGCGAACAGG